AAUCAACGCUGGCGGCGUGCCUAACACAUGCAAGUCGAACGAGAAAGGGGACUUCGGUCCCUGAGUACAGUGGCGCACGGGUGAGUAACACGUGACUUAUCUACCCUCGAGUGGGGAAUAAACUUCGGGAAACCGAGGCUAAUACCGCAUAAUACCCACGGGUCAAAGGAGCAAUUCGCUUGAGGAGGAGGUCGCGGCCGAUUAGUUAGUUGGCGGGGUAAUGGCCCACCCAAGACGGUGAUCGGCAUCCGGCCUGAGAGGGCGCACGGACACACUGGAACUGAAACACGGUCCAGACUCCUACGGGAGGCAGCAGUGGGGAAUUUUGCGCAAUGGGGGAAACCCUGACGCAGCAACGCCGCGUGGAGGAUGAAGUCUCUUGGGACGUAAACUCCUUUCGAUCGGGACGAUUAUGACGGUACCGGAAGAAGAAGCCCCGGCUAACUUCGUG
rnacentral:rRNA from 1 species